rnacentral:rRNA from 1 species
UGGGGAAUAUUGGACAAUGGGGGAAACCCUGAUCCAGCCAUGCCGCGUGAGUGAUGAAGGCCCUAGGGUUGUAAAGCUCUUUUGUGCGGGAAGAUAAUGACGGUACCGCAAGAAUAAGCCCCGGCUAACUUCGUGCCAGCAGCCGCGGUAAUACGAAGGGGGCUAGCGUUGCUCGGAAUCACUGGGCGUAAUGGGUGCGUAGGCGGAUCUUUAAGUCAGAGGUGAAAGCCUGGAGCUCAACUCCAGAACUGCCUUUGAUACUGGGGAUCUUGAGUUCGGGAGAGGUGAGUGGAACUGCGAGUGUAGUGGUGAAAUGCGUAGAUAUCCGGAGGAACACCAGUGGCGAAAGCGGCUUCCUGGACUGUAACUGACGCUCAGACGCGAAAGCUAGGGUAGCAAACG